rnacentral:rRNA from 1 species
UACGGGGGGGGCAAGCGUUGUUCGGAAUUACUGGGCGUAAAGGGUGCGUAGGCGGUCCGCUAAGUUGGAUGUGAAAACUCUGGGCUUAACCCAGAGCCUGCAUUCAAAACUGACGGGCUAGAGUUCUGGAGGGGGUAGCGGAAUUCCUGGUGUAGCGGUGAAAUGCGUAGAUAUCGAGAGGAACACCUGCGGCGAAGGCGGGUUGCUGGGCCGACACUGACGCUGAAGUGCGAAAGCUAGGGGAGCGAACGGG